UACGGGGGGUGCAAGCGUUGUCCGGAAUCAUUGGGCGUAAAGAGUUCGUAGGCGGCACGUAAAGUCUGGUGUUAAAGGCAGAGGCUCAACUUCUGUACGGCACUGGAUACUUGCGAGCUAGAAUGCGGUAGAGGUAAAGGGAAUUCCUGGUGUAGCGGUAAAAUGCGUAGAUAUAUGGAAGAACACCAGUGGCGAAGGCGGCCGCCUGGCCUGUUACUGACGCUGAGGCACGAAAGCGUGGGGAGCAAAUAGG
rnacentral:rRNA from 1 species